rnacentral:rRNA from 1 species
GACGAACGCUGGCGGCGUGCCUAAUACAUGCAAGUAGAACGCAGUUGCGAACGGGUGAGUAACGCGUAGGUAACUGCCUCAUAGCGGGGGAUAACUAAUGGAAACGAUAGCUAAUACCGGAUACUGUGAGAUGGACCUGCGUUGGAUUAGGUAGUUGGUGAGGUAAAGGCCAACCAAGGCGCCGAUACAUAGCCGACCUGAGGGGGUUAUCGGCCACCCUGGGACUUAUACACCGCUCCGAAUCCUUCGGGAGGCAGCCGUAGGGAAACUUCGGCAAUGGACGGAAGUCGGAACGAGCAACUCCGCGUGAGUGAAGAAGGUUUUCGGAUCGGAAAGCUCUGUUGUUAGAGAAGCGGUAACUAAACAGAAAGGGACGGCUAACUACGUGCCAGCCGCCGCGGUAAUAC